GAUCCCGGAGGUCAACAUCCGACAGCGCGAUGCGCCCUCGGGUGCGUGUUUCG
rnacentral:sRNA from 1 species